UACGAAGGGUGCAAACGUUGCUCGGAAUCAUUGGGCGUAAAGCGCACGUAGGCGGCUUAGCAAGUUGGAUGUGAAAUCCCUCGGCUCAACCAAGGAAGUGCAUCCAAAACUGCUGAGCUUGAGUACUUAAGAGGAUCGCGGAAUUCCCGGUGUAGAGGUGAAAUUCGUAGAUAUCGGGAGGAACACCAGUGGCGAAGGCGGCGAUCUGGGAAGAUACUGACGCUGAGGUGCGAAAGCGUGGGGAGCAAACAGGG
rnacentral:rRNA from 1 species